UACGGGGGGGGCUAGCGUUGCUCGGAAUCACUGGGCGUAAAGCGCACGUAGGCGGACUCUUAAGUCGGUGGUGAAAUCCUGGAGCUCAACUCCAGAACUGCCUUCGAUACUGAGAGUCUCGAGUCCGGGAGAGGUGAGUGGAACUGCGAGUGUAGAGGUGAAAUUCGUAGAUAUUCGCAAGAACACCAGUGGCGAAGGCGGCUCACUGGCCCGGUACUAACGCUGAGACGCGAAAGCGUGGGGAGCGAACAGG
rnacentral:rRNA from 1 species